UACGUAGGGGGCGAGCGUUGUCCGGAAUUACUGGGCGUAAAGGGCGUGUAGGCGGCCAUAAAAGUCAGAGGUGAAAACCUGCGGCUCAACUGCGGGACUGCCUUUGAAACUAUAUGGCUUGAGGACAGGAGAGGGAAGUGGAAUUCCCAGUGUAGCGGUGAAAUGCGUAGAUAUUGGGAGGAACACCAGUGGCGAAGGCGACUUCCUGGCCUGGACCUGACGCUGAGGCGCGAAAGCGUGGGGAGCAAACAGGAUUAGAUACCCCCGUAGUCC
rnacentral:rRNA from 1 species